rnacentral:rRNA from 1 species
UACGUAGGGGGCAAGCGUUGUCCGGAUUUAUUGGGCGUAAAGAGCGUGUAGGCGGCCAUGUAGGUCCGGUGUGAAAACUCGAGGCUUAACCUCGAGAUGUCAUCGGAAACCAUUUGGCUAGAGUCCGGAAGAGGAGACUGGAAUUCCUGGUGUAGCGGUGAAAUGCGCAGAUAUCAGGAGGAACACCGGUGGCGAAGGCGGGUCUCUGGGCAGUAACUGACGCUGAGGAGCGAAAGCGUGGGGAGCGAACAGG